rnacentral:rRNA from 1 species
AGAACGAACGCUGGCGGCAGGCUUAACACAUGCAAGUCGAACGCGUGUAGCAAUACACGAGUGGCGCACGGGUGAGUAACGCGUGGAUAUCUGCCUUUUGGUUCGGAAUAACCCCGGGAAACUGGGGCUAAUACCGGAUGGUUCCUACGGGAUAAAGAUUUAUCGCCAAAAGAUGAGUCCGCGUACGAUUAGCUAGUUGGUGAGGUAAUGGCUCACCAAGGCGACGAUCGUUAGCUGGUCUGAGAGGACGAUCAGCCACACUGGGACUGAGACACGGCCCAGACUCCUACGGGAGGCAGCAGUGGGGAAUAUUGCGCAAUGGGCGAAAGCCUGACGCAGCGACGCCGCGUGGGGGAUGAAGGCCUUCGGGUUGUAACCCUUUCAGCAGGGACGAAGCGAAAGUGACGGUACCUGCAGAAGAAGCGCCGGCUACUACGUGCCAGCAGCCGC